AUUGAACGCUGGCGGCAUGCCUUACACAUGCAAGUCGAACGGCAGCACGGGUGCUUGCACCUGGUGGCGAGUGGCGAACGGGUGAGUAAUACAUCGGAACGUACCUUAUCGUGGGGGAUAACGCAGCGAAAGCUGUGCUAAUACCGCAUACGCCCUGAGGGGGAAAGCGGGGGAUCGAAAGACCUCGCGCGAUUAGAGCGGGCGAUGCCUGAUUAGCUUGUUGGUGGGGUAAAAGCCCACCAAGGCGACGAUCAGUAGCUGGUCUGAGAGGACGAUCAGCCACACUGGGACUGAGACACGGCCCAGACUCCUACGGGAGGCAGCAGUGGGGAAUUUUGGACAAUGGGGGCAACCCUGAUCCAGCAAUGCCGCGUGAGUGAAGAGGGCCUUCGGGUUGUAAAGCUCUUUUGUCAGGGAAGAAACACCGGCUCUAACACAGUCCGGGAAUGACGGUACCUGAAGAAUAAGCACCGGCUAACUACGUGCCAGCCGCCGCGGUAA
rnacentral:rRNA from 1 species